CCACCAAACUUAUCCAUGACGGAAGGAGGACACCAGAUGGAUGAGGAAGACUCCAGAAGACUCUCGGAGCAAGGGGGCCGGCCGGCCCCACCCUGGCGCCGCCCGGCCCCCUAGGGUUAGGGUUAGCUCCCCCCUUUUGGAAGCUUCCUCCACCGCCUCUGAGGAGCCAUUUCGACCGCUUGUUAAGUCAGUUUGAUCCAACGGCACGCAUUCACCCCACCAGGCUAUAAAUAGAAGGCAAGACCCCCCUGGAGGGAGGCUAGAUCAAGAGAUGGAGAGCCAGAGCAUUAGAUAGUGAUCCACUAGAUCUAGGCUAGCAAUCAAGAUAGUGAUUAGAGAGAGAUAGAGUAGAGGAGUAGAGAUUCUGGAGGAGUCCCGGCCUAUCGGUGCUUCUUCGUGGCUGUCUUCUUCUAGAUUAGGCUCCCUCGCCCAGAACCGUGUUCUGAUGUACUUUUGUAUUUACCCUUCUGAUUCAAGUAAGCAACUUGUUUGUAUUCGUUCUUUGGUUUGCAACUCAUAUUUUAUUGAGUACUGUGAUUUGGUUGGCUCCUAGGUCACAGUAGUGAUUCGUUGCGUAGACGUGGUGUCUGGGCUAUGGUUGCUUGUGAAUGUCCCAUGAUCAGCCGGACAAUGGUAGUUCGCGUAGGUGAUUUUAUAGCUACGUUGAUUCCUCUAUAGUCCACUUUCCGUUGGUAGGAUUGAUAGGCUUAUAGGUUCCUGGUAGGGGAUUUCUCUGAUUCUUCCCCUAUUUGGGUUACUUGCCCGAUAAGAUGAUACUAUACAAAGUUUACCAGUUAUUGGAACCAGAGUACAUUAGUAUUUCCUCAUCAUCAACAGUUUCUUUAUUGUUUGUGCCCCCUUAGAUUAAGAAAUUAUAGGCUAAGUCAUAAAUCACCUAUUGUUCCUUUGGGUUCGAUAUUAAAACUGGGUUAAUCUUGGUGAAGUGCUCAUCAGUAUAUAUCUGUGCGCUUGCGGAUAAUCUAAUCAUACUCAUUAUUAGGGUGCAGCUAAUUUAUAUCAACAAGCAUUUCUGGCGCUGUUGCCGGGAAACGGUUUGCUGAUUUUUGACAUAGUCUAUCUUAGUCUAUAAUUAUCUUUAAAAAAAUAAAAAAAAUAAUAUAUAUAGAUAAUACAUAAUGGGAAUUGAAUCUCAACUUUUAUAUCAAUAUGGAGCACCUUCGGGAUCGUACCACCAGCCAAAGGAAUCUUCUAAACUUAUCACAUCAUCUGGCUAUGAGCUACGCCCAAGACUAAUCAAAUUAGUUCAAGAACACAUUUUUUCUGGAAAUUCUAGCGAAAACCCCUAUUCCCACUUAGCUGAUUUUGAGCAGACAUGUUCAUGUCUAAAAAUUAAGGCCAUGGCCAAUGAAACUCUAAGGUGGAAACUCUUUCCAUUUUCAUUAACGGGUCAAGCUAAGAAAUGGUAUAAUCGCCAUGUUGGGAAUAGUCAAGGAGACUGGGAUAUAUUACGAAAAGAGUUUUGCAUUAAAUUUUUCCCAGUAGAAAACGUCGCUAAACUUCGGUUUGAAAUUAUAAGAUUCAAACAAUUAGACCAGGAAUCGCUAGGCAAGGCUUGGGAUAAUUUUGAUAGUUUUGUAAACUCUGGACCUAAUCUUGCUUUACCAGAACCCAUGCUUUUACAACAUUUCUUUUUAGGCCUGAAUGAUAAAAAUCAAGAAUACCUUAAUUUAGCCUCGGGAGGAGCAUUGAUGCAUAUUAUUGUUGAUCAUGCUAAAACUAUUCUUACUAAUAUUUUAAAUGAUCUCCCCGAAGAAAAAGAAGAGUUGUUAGAAGAAGAAUCUCAGUUAACUGAAAAUAAACCUUUACCUGAUUCAUCUCAAUUGAUAGUUGAAUUAGCUAAUGAGACAAAAAUAACUCCAAAUUCUGAAUGGAUGUUUGAAAUUAAGGAUGAUUUCUUUGAUGUUUUUGGUAAUACUACAUUUUAUCAUAAGAUUAUUCAACCCCAACAAUCUAGGGAAUUUAAUCCUAUUUUUUCGCAUCCUGAUGAUUAAAAUUUCUUAAAGAAGUUAUAAGGGUAUUAAUCUUUAUUUUGGGUGAUGAUUGGUUAAUAGAAUCCGAGAAAUCCCCAAAAGUAAUUCACUUCAAUUCACCCUCAAUUAUUGUAAAGUUGCAAGUAGAUUCACAUCCUUUUGAAGCUUUAUAUAUUCCGGUUGUAGGAGUCAACAUUAUGUCAUAUACCUUUGCUAAAGAAUUCUUGAAAGACAUACCAUUAAUUCCUACAAAUAAAUUGUUAAAAAGUUGCUUAGGACACAUUAUUCCUAGCUUAGGAGUUUUGAGUACACUUCCUAUUAUCAUCAAUGAUUUCCGCACUUUGCUAAAUUUUUAUAUAUUUGAUGUGUGGGAUUUUAAUGUAAUGAUUGGAGUACCUAUGAUAAAACUUCUUCAAGAAGGCUUUAAUGGUAAAUUAGACAUUAAAUUUGGGAAAGGAUUUAGUUUUUCAAUGCCUAUAAUUAAUAUAGUAAAAGUUAAAGCAGAACCCCUUCCUGAAUUGGAUCCAAUAGAAGAGGUUAAGUCAUUCGAAUUCGAUAAUUUUAGUCAACCUGAUUUAGAAGAUGAUACCCAGUUCUUCAUCAAAGAAGAGGAAGAGGAUCUUACUGAUCCUGAACCUCUUGAUGACUUGCUAGAGCCACCUAACCCUCCUAUUGAGCUCAAACCACUACCUUCUUGACUUAAAUAUGUUUUUCUAAAUAAUGAUAAAAAAUAUCCGGUGAUUAUAAGUGAUAAACUCUCUGAUGAGGAGACUUAUAAACUAAUAACUAUUUUAGAAAAACACCAUGCUGCUUUUGGUUAUUCACUCCAAGACCUAAAAGGGAUUAGCCCUGUUCUCUGCACUCAUCGCAUACCAGCCAAUCCUGAAAUUACACCUUCAAGAGAGCCUCGGCGUAGACUCCAUAAUGUGCUGAGAGAUGUAGUAAAGAAAUAGGUCUUAAAGCUUUUAGAUGUAGGGAUUAUAUGUCUUGUACCGCAUAGUGAGUGGGUAAGUCCUGUCCAAGUUGUACCUAAAAAGGGAGGAAUGACAGUUGUUCAAAAUGAUAAAAUUGAGUUAAUACCUCAAAGAACUGUUACAAGAUGGCGAAUGUGCAUAGAUUAUAGAAAACUCAACAAGGCAACAAGGAAAGAUCAUUUUCAUCUACCUUUCAUUGAUGACAUGCUAGAGCGUUUAGCCAAUCAUUCUUUCUUUUGUUUUCUUGAUGGUUAUUCAGGAUAUCACCAAAUCCCUAUCCACCCUGAUGAUCAAAGCAAAACCACAUUUACAUGUCCCUAUAGAACUUAUGCUUAUCGUAGAAUGUCUUUUGGAUUAUGUAAUGCACCCGCUUCUUUCCAAUGAUGCAUGAUGUCUAUAUUUUCUGAUAUGAUAGAAAAGAUCAUGGAAGUUUUUAUGGAUGAUUUUUCAGUUUAUGGGAAUACUUUUGAUGAUUGUUUGGAAAAUUUAGAUAAGGUUUUACAAAGAUGUGAAGAAAAACACUUAGGCCUCAAUUGUGAGAAAUGUCAUUUUAUGGUUAGAGAGGGAAUAGUGUUAGGACACUUAGUGUCAGAAAGAGGUAUAGAGGUAGAUAAAGCAAAAAAUUGAAGUAAUCAAAUAGCUACCUCCACCUGUUAAUAUAAAAGGAAUCCAAAGCUUUCUGGGUCAUUGUGGUUUUUAUCGUAGAUUUAUAAGAAAUUUCUCACAAAUUGCUAGGUCAAGGACUAGAUUGUUAGCUAAGGAUGUACCUUUUGAAUUUGAUGAUGAAUGUUUAGAAUCAUUUAAUAUUCUUAAGGAAGCACAAACAUUAGCACCAAUCAUUCAACCCCCUGAUUGGUCUUUACCUUUUGAAAUUAUGUGUGAUGCUAGUGAUUAUGCUGUAGGCGCAGUCUUAGGACAAACAAAAGAUAAAAUGCAUCAUGCAAUUGUCUAUGCUAGCAAAAUAAUGACAAAAGCAAAAUUUAGGUCUUAUUUAGUUGGAGCUAAAAUAAUUGUUUAUUCUGACCAUGCUGCUCUAAAAUAUCUGCUCACUAAGAAAGAUGCUAAACCGUGACUAAUAAGAUGGAUCUUAUUAUUUCAAGAAUUUGAUUUGGAAAUUAAAGAUAGAAAAUGUGUAGAAAAUCAUGUUGCUGAUCAUUUGUCUAAGAUGUAUUUUAAAGAACCUCAGGAGCUACCUAUUAAUGAGU
rnacentral:lncRNA from 1 species